AUUGAACGCUGGCGGCAGGCCUAACACAUGCAAGUCGAGCGAGCGGCGGACGGGUGAGUAAUGUCUGGGAAACUGCCUGAUGGAGGGGGAUAACUACUGGAAACGGUAGCUAAUACCGCAUACCAUCAGAUGUGCCCAGAUGGGAUUAGCUAGUAGUUGGGGUAACGGCUCACCUAGGCGACGAUCCCUAUCUGGUCGGAGAGGAUGACCAGCCACACUGGAAUGGAGACACGGCCCAGACUCCUACGGGAGGCAGCAGUGGGGAAUAUUGCACAAUGGGCGCAAGCCUGAUGCAGCCAUACCGCGUGGGGGAAGAAGGUAUGCGGGUUGUAAAGCACUGUCAGCGGGGAGGCGUUACCCGCAGAAGAAGCACCGGCUAACUCCGUGCCAGCAGCCGCGGUAAUUC
rnacentral:rRNA from 1 species